rnacentral:rRNA from 1 species
AUUGAACGCUAGCGGGAUGCCUUACACAUGCAAGUCGAACGGAGUGGCGAACGGGUGAGUAAUGUAUCGGAACGUGCCCAGUAGCGGGGGAUAAAUACGCGAAAGCGUAGCUAAUACCGCAUACUAUUGGAGCGUCCGAUCUCGGAUUAGCGAGUGGGGGGGUUAACGGCUCACCAAGGCGACGAUCCGUAGCUGGUUUGAGAGGACGACCAGCCACACUGGGACGGAGAACAGGCCCAGACGCCUACGGGAGGGAGCAGUGGGGAAUUUUGGACAAGGGGGGAAACCCUGAUCCUGCCAUCCCGCGUGGGGGAUGAAGGCCUUCGUGUUGUAAAGCACGUUUGGCAGGAAAGCGGUACCUGCAGAAUAAGCACCGGCUAACUACGCGCCAGCAGCCGCGGUAAUAC